rnacentral:rRNA from 1 species
UACAGAGGUCCCAAGCGUUGUUCGGAUUCACUGGGCGUAAAGGGCGCGUAGGCGGUUGGGUAAGUCUGACGUGAAAUCUCCGGGCCUAACCCGGAAACUGCGUUGGAUACUAUCCGGCUAGAGGAAUGGAGGGGAGACUGGAAUACUUGGUGUAGCAGUGAAAUGCGUAGAUAUCAAGUGGAACACCAGUGGCGAAGGCGAGUCUCUGGACAUUUCCUGACGCUGAGGCACGAAAGCCAGGGGAGCAAACGGG